UACGGGGGGGGCAAGCGUUGUUCGGAAUUACUGGGCGUAAAGGGCUCGUAGGUGGCCAACUAAGUCAGACGUGAAAUCCCUCGGCUUAACCGGGGAACUGCGUCUGAUACUGGAUGGCUAGAGAUUGGGAGAGGGAUGCGGAAUUCCAGGUGUAGCGGUGAAAUGCGUAGAUAUCUGGAGGAACACCGGUGGCGAAGGCGGCAUCCUGGACCAACACUGACGCUGAUGAGCGAAAGCCAGGGGAGCAAACGGG
rnacentral:rRNA from 1 species